ensembl:snRNA U6 U6 spliceosomal RNA
UUGUUCAAGACACCAAGAGUCUAUACACCCUCCACCAUUAACACAUAUAAUAAAAUUGGAAGGAUACAGAGAAAACUAGCAUGCUCCUUCUGCAAGGAUGGCACGCAAAUUUGUGAAGUGUUUCAUUUAAAA